rnacentral:rRNA from 1 species
UACAGAGGUCCCAAGCGUUGUUCGGAUUCAUUGGGCGUAAAGGGUGCGUAGGUGGCGUCGUAAGUCGGGUGUGAAAUUUCGGAGCUCAACUCCGAAACUGCAUUCGAUACUGCCGUGCUUGAGGACUGGAGAGGAGACUGGAAUUUACGGUGUAGCGGUGAAAUGCGUAGAUAUCGUAAGGAAGACCAGUGGCGAAGGCGGGUCUCUGGACAGUUCCUGACGCUGAGGCACGAAGGCCAGGGGAGCAAACGGG